rnacentral:rRNA from 1 species
AGGAUGAACGCUGGCGGCGUGCCUAAUACAUGCAAGUCGAGCGGUAAGGCCUCUUCGGAGGUACACGAGCGGCGGACGGCUGAGUAACACGUAGGAACGUACCCCAAAGUGAGGCAUAAGCACCAGAAAUGGUGUCUAAUACCGCAUGUGCUCUAAGGAGUAAAGCUUCGGCGCUUUGGGAACGGCCUGCGCAUGAUUAGCUUGUUGGUGAGGUAAUAGCUCACCAAGGCGACGAUCAUUAGCUGGUCUGAGAGGAUGACCAGCCAGACUGGGACUGAGAACGGCCCAGACUCCUACGGGAGGCAGCAGUAGGGAAUUUUCCACAAUGGGCGAAAGCCUGAUGGAGCAACGCCGCGUGCAGGAUGAAGGCCUUCGGGUUGUAACUGCUUUUAUAUGUGACGAAUAUGACGGUAGCAUAUGAAUAAGGAUCGGCUAACUCCGUGCCAGCAGCCGC